CCCAUAGGGCUAAGUUUAUUUCAUUUGUCACACCUAAUUUCAAUCACCCGCCUUAAAAGAGAGAAUGGAUCACCAAAAAUUGAAAUUGAGAAAACAUAUUUACUCUAGAGAGAGAGAGAGAGAAGAGAGAGAGAGAGAGAGAUAUGAGGAUAUUUGGAAAGCAUGUAUAUCCAAGACAAGUAAUACUUUUCGCAUCCAGGUAUGAAUGGAAACUCUUGAAGAUCACAUCAACUCCCUCCGCCGCCCGCCGCCGUGACGCCGCCACCACGGAAAAAGUUAACUGUUUUACAAUUGUGAUGAUUUAAUUUCAUGCUGUCGGAGCUUCAAAGCUGAGCGAAGAAGAUGAUCGCCUCUAGCCUUUACGCACGUCAGCUUUCUAUGGUUAUGUAUCGGCCACGUGGUCUCUAAAAUAACCACGUGUACGUUGCAUUAAUUUUUAUUUUAUUGGUACUAAAAUAAUUUGUUUAGUUUUCUAACUAAAUGAAAUUGAAAUACAUAAUUAUUUACUCAAUUACAAUCUGCGGUUCAAGGCACGUGGGAAAUUUAUUUGAAGAUUUUUGAAAUAUUUGUAGGUAUCAUGUUAUAUACCCUUUUAAUUGUGUAUUAAUAACACGACAAUUUAUUUAAUAUGUUGUAAUAUUUUUUUGCACUUU